CGGGGGGAGCAAGCGUUGUUCGGAUUCACUGGGCGUAAAGGGUGCGCAGGCGGCCGGGUGUGUGAGGCGUGAAAGCCCGAUGCUUAACAUCGGAAUUGCACCUCAAACUACACGGCUAGAGCAUUGGAGAGGGUAGCGGAAUUCACGGUGUAGCAGUGAAAUGCGUAGAUAUCGUGAGGAACACCAGAGGCGAAGGCGGCUACCUGGACAAUUGCUGACGCUCAGGCACGAAAGCGUGGGGAGCAAAAGGGAUUAGAUACCCCUGUAGUCCACGCCCUAGACGGUGCACACUAGGUCUUGGCGGAUUCGACCCCACCGACGGGCCCCAGCUAACGCGUUAAGUGUGCCGCCUGAGGACUACGGUCGCAAGACUA
rnacentral:rRNA from 1 species